GCACAAGCGGUGGAUUAUGUGGAUUAAUUCGAUGCAACGCGAAAACCUUACCUACCCUUGACAUGUCCGGAACUUGCCAGAGAUGGCUUGGUGCCCGAAAGGGAAUCGGAACACAGGUGCUGCAUGGCUGUCGUCAGCUCGUGUCGUGAGAUGUUGGGUUAAGUCCCGCAACGAGCGCAACCCUUAUCAUUAGUUGCUACGCAAGGGCACUCUAAUGAGACUGCCGGUGACAAACCGGAGGAAGGUGGGGAUGACGUCAAGUCCUCAUGGCCCUUAUGGGUAGGGCUUCACACGUCAUACAAUGGUCGGUACAGAGGGUUGCCAAGCCGCGAGGCGGAGCCAAUCCCACAAAGCCGAUCGUAGUCCGGAUUGUUCUCUGCAACUCGAGAGCAUGAAGUCGGAAUCGCUAGUAAUCGCAGGUCAGCAUACUGCGGUGAAUACGUUCCCGGGUCUU
rnacentral:rRNA from 1 species